rnacentral:rRNA from 1 species
CUAGAAAGCAUCGCGCCAGGCCUCACGUAUCCCACGUGGGCUCGAAGGACCCUUACCAACC